rnacentral:pre_miRNA from 1 species
UAUGUACUCCCUCCGUCCGGAAAUACUUGUCAUCAAAAUGGAUAAAAGAGGAUGUAUCUAGAUGUAUUUUAGUUCUAGAUACAUCUCUUUUUAUCCAUUUUGAUGACAAGUAUUUUCGGACGGAGGGAGUAUAUA